UCAGACGAUGCGUCAUGCAUAUCAAUAAGCGGAGGAAAAGAAACUAACAAGGAUUCCCUUAGUAACGGCGAGUGAAGCGGGAAGAGCUCAAAUUUGAAAUCUUGAAAGGUCACCUUUCACGAAUUGUAGUUUAAAGAAGUGUUUUCUGUUACGAUCGUAAUAUAAGUUCUUUGGAAUAGGACAUCACAGAGGGUGAGAAUCCCGUCUAUGAUUGCGAUUUGUAGCUUUGUGAUACACUUUCAAAGAGUCGGGUUGCUUGGGAAUGCAGCCCAAAACGGGAGGUAAAUUUCUUCUAAGGCUAAAUAUUGGCGAGAGACCGAUAGCGAACAAGUACCGUGAGGGAAAGAUGAAAAGAACUUUGAAAAGAGAGUUAAAUAGUACGUGAAAUUGUCAAAAGGGAAGCGUUUAACACCAGUGUUGUUUUCUGAAAAUCAACCUCUGUUAGCUUUAUGCAUGUUUGUUUAGACCUAAUCAUGCUAUCUUGCAUGUUCUAUUGUUUGCAGUGGUGCACUUUUCAGUUUACAGGUCAACAUCAGUUUUUUUUACCGUAAAAAAGUUAAAGAAAGGUAGCUCAUGGCUCCGGUCGUGAGUGUUAUAGUCUUUUUCCUAUGCGGUAGGAGAGACUGAGGUCUGCAGUGUAGGCUAUUUGGCUAGAUACUCAGGUGCUAUGUGAUACCAUUUCAUAAACAACUUGUUGAUUAUGUUUUGUCUAUUGCAUACUCGCUUGUACUAUCAUACCUACGCUUAGGAUGUUGACUGAUAUGUAGUCGUA
rnacentral:rRNA from 1 species